rnacentral:rRNA from 1 species
UGGGGAAUCUUGGACAAUGGGGGCAACCCUGAUCCAGCCAUGCCGCGUGAGUGAUGAAGGCCUUAGGGUCGUAAAGCUCUUUCGCCUGUGAAGAUAAUGACGGUAGCAGGUAAAGAAACCCCGGCUAACUCCGUGCCAGCAGCCGCGGUAAUACGGAGGGGGUUAGCGUUGUUCGGAAUUACUGGGCGUAAAGCGCACGUAGGCGGACCAGAAAGUUGGGGGUGAAAUCCCGGGGGCUCAACCCCGGAACUGCCUCCAAAACUAUUGGUCUAGAGUUCGAGAGAGGUGAGUGGAAUUCCAAGUGUAGAGGUGAAAUUCGUAGAUAUUUGGAGGAACACCAGUGGCGAAGGCGGCUCACUGGCUCGAUACUGACGCUGAGGUGCGAAAGUGUGGGGAGCAAACAGGAUUAGAUACCCUGGUAGUCCACACCGUAAAACGAUGAAUGCCAGUCGUCGGGUAGCAUGCUAUUCGGUGACACACCUAACGGAUUAAGCAUUCCGGCCUGGGGAGUACGGUCGCAAGAUUAAAA